rfam:Monodelphis domestica chromosome 8, whole genome shotgun sequence.
UGCCCUUUGUACACCUUCUCGUGGCCCUGCUCUGUCUCCUGGAAAAGGGGACCCGAGGAGAGCCAUAAAAAUAACCUUUCGAUAUUCGCUUUUAUGGCUAUUUACACCCGGCUCGGCGCUAGAGGAAGCUCUGACGCUUCAUUCAUUAGUCAACCCCACAGCCUCGGGUUUUUGAUGCUCGCUUUAU